CAGGGCUGCGCGCGGCGCUCGCCUGCUGGCGCGGGUUCCGGGGGGCGCCUGCUGGGCUUGAUUGGAGACAAUCCCGUGCGUGGACCGCCGUUCCCUCUUCGCGGGAAUGUUGGCCAGGAUAGCAGGUCUCCUUCUCUUUCUCGCUUCUCCUCUUUUCCUCUUGAUUCUCUGGGACAAGCUCCGUCUGGGCUCCGGGAGUGCCCGGGCUAGGUGCUGCAAAGUCUCACAAGUAGUGCCAGUGAGAGGUGAAGCCAGCUGUGCUUCUGGGAUGGGUGGGGACUUGGAGAACUUUUGUGUCUAGCUACAGGUUUGUAAAUGCUCCCAUCAGCACUCUGUGAAAAUGGACCAAUCAGCUCCCAGUAAGCCAAUCAGCUCUCUGUAAAAUGGACCAAUCGGCAGAAUGUGGGUGGGGCCAAAUAAGGGAAUAAAGUCAGGUCACGGAGCCAGCAGCGGCAACCCGCUGGGGUCUCCGUUUCAGGCUGUGGAAGCUUUGUUGUUUCAGUCUUUGCAAUAAAUCUUGCUGCUGUUCACCCUUUGGGUUUGUGCGGCUUUUAUGAGCUGUAACACUCCCCGAGAAGGUCUGCAGUUCCACUCCUGAAGCCAGCGAGACUGGGAACCCACUGGGAGGGAGGAACAACUCCAGACGGGAGACACGAACAACUCUGGACGCGCCAUCUUUAUGAACCGUAAAAGUCACUGCGAGGGUCUGCGGCUUCAUUCUUGAAGUCAGCGAGACCAAGAACCCACCAAUUCCGGACACGAUCUGACUUAUCCUUGUAUGUGCUAAACUCAGUCUCUACCCACAAGUGGAUUUGUAACUGGUUAAUCUGUCCAUUGGGAAUGUUUACUGUGGGCCUACCAUGUACCAGGGACUACACCAUGCUAGGAAGACCUGCAUAGAGUUUACAGCUGGUCCUAGGCGAUGCUGAUGCUGCAGGCCCAAGGAUCACACCUGGAGAAGCAUGGACACCUUGUUGUAAACAGAAGAUCUACUGCUGACCACAAGCUAGCAGCCAUGAGCUAUGGCUGAUGUAAGGAAGGACACAGAAGAACAGACCAGCCAGGGCUUGAGCCUAAGAGUCAUUCUUAGUCAUUCUCCAAGAGUGUGAGAGAAAGACGGUAAACUGGGGAUAUGCAGUGGGCACAGGUGAGAGAGAGGAGUUUGGCGGCACUGGUUUCCCAAGACACAGGACACAAGACCCCUCCAAUAAAACAGGAUGCAGUAGAGAAGCUGAGCAAAACCUACCAAAACCAAGAAGGCAACAGAAGUGGCCUCUGGUUACCCUUGCUGCUCAUUAUAUGCUAAUUAUAACACACUAGCAGGCAAAAAGGCACUCCCACCAGUGCCAUGAGGGUUUACAAAUGCCAUGGCAACCUGGCACCCCAAUCCCCACCCCCAAUAAAUUACCCGGAAAACUCAUGAAUAAUCCACACUUUGUUUAGCGUAUGAUCAAGAAAUAAAUCAUAAAAAUAGCCAACCAGCAGCCCUCAAGGCUGCCUUGCCUAUGGAGUAGGCACGUUUUUAUUGCAUUACUUUCUUA
rnacentral:lncRNA from 1 species